AGCAGGGGUGACUGUAAGGGGUUGAAGUGUUUGGCUGUCUGCAAAGCAGGCAGCAGGAGGAAAAGGGUGUCUUAUGUGUGACUGGGUAGGAUAGAGAUGGACAAGCUGCUCUGAAGGGUGUUGGAAUGGUGGUGUGUCUUCUUCAGUUCCUGCUGCACCAGCCUUUCAUGUCUGUCCCAUUCAUCCUGGGUUCUGUGAGUGCUCAGCCUUCAUCUUAACCCUGAGCUCACUGUGUUGCCAGAGAUGGUAGAGCAAUAACAGCCUCAUUAACCAACAAACCUGGACAGAAAAGCUUCCUCCCAGCCUGUUCAGGACCAAAACAUCACUGUGGCCUGGCUCCAGCUGGAGGACCUCAUACAGAAAGCACCUUUCCUUGCCUGCCUUGGGAUGCAUCCAAAGGCACCUAAAGGCAAUCUCUGGUGCCCUCUCAGCUGUCCCAGUGUGGGACUUGCCUGGCUGGUGACACGGGACAUGUGAUGGGGCAGAAACUGCUUUUUCCUCCCCCCAAGAAGUGACAUUCCUGGAACUCCUCAGCAUUUAAACACCCAAGUCCA